rnacentral:rRNA from 1 species
ACGAACGCUGGCGGCGUGCUUAACACAUGCAAGUCGAACGGUGAAGCGCCUUCCUUUUUGGUGGGUGUGGAUGAGUGGCGAACGGGUGAGUAACACGUGAGUAACCUGCCCCCUUCUUCUGGAUAACCGCAUGAAAGUGUGGCUAAUACGGGAUAUUCUGGGUCUGUCGCAUGAUGGGUCUGGGAAAGAUAUUGUUUCGGUGGGGGAUGGGCUCGCGGCCUAUCAGCUUGUUGGUGGGGUGAUGGCCUACCAAGGCGGUGACGGGUAGCCGGCCUGAGAGGGUGGACGGUCACACUGGGACUGAGACACGACCCAGACUCCUACGGGAGGCAGCAGUGGGGAAUAUUGCACAAUGGGCGCAAGCCUGAUGCAGCGACGCCGCGUGAGGGAUGGAGGCCUUCGGGUUGUGAACCUCUUUCGCCAGUGAAGCAGGCCUGCCUCGUUUGUGGGUGGGUUGACGGUAGCUGGAUAAGAAGCGCCGGCUAACUACGUG